rnacentral:rRNA from 1 species
CACGUAGGGGGCAAGCGUUGUCCGGAUUUAUUGGGCGUAAAGAGCUCGUAGGUGGUUCGGUAAGUCGGGUGUUAAACCCCCAGGCUCAACCUGGGGACGCCACUCGAUACUGCUGUGACUAGAGUCCGGUAGGGGAGCGUGGAAUUCCUGGUGUAGCGGUGAAAUGCGCAGAUAUCAGGAGGAACACCAGCGGCGAAGGCGGCGCUCUGGGCCGGUACUGACACUGACGCUCAUGCACGAAAGCGUGGGGAGCAAACAGG